rnacentral:lncRNA from 1 species
UGUUUUUGGUUCGGGGAUCAAGUACUUGGAUUUCUUCCACUGGACGAGAAUUUGCUAGAAAUCCACUUUUCCAAAGCUGAGCAUUUUCUUGAUCUGAUUAUACUCUCUCUUCAGCCAUCCCAGCCACGUGCUCAAAUUAUAAUAAAAGAUCAAAACAUACCCAGUGUGAAGGAACUUCACCAAGCCGGAGUCAAGUUUAAACCAGCUGCCGGGUCAACCAAAAAUCUACUCGACAUCAAUUUUAAUCAAGGAAUUCUGGAAAUUCCAUUUUUCAAGGUGUUGGAUACCACAGAGCUUGUGUUCAGAAAUCUUCUAGCCUUCGAAAGCAUGCAUGGCUACAACGGAUAUUUUAAUGAUUACAUUAUAAUGAUGGCUUGUCUCAUCAGCUGUCCGAAAGAUGCAGAAUUACUCGUUCAAAAUGAUGUUAUUAGGCUAGGGAAUACUGAAACUGUUCCAACGGUUUUUGGAAACCUUGGUCGCGACUGUACGUUAUAUAGUGAUGAUUUCCAAUAUUCUGGUGUUGUCACUAAUUUACAGGCCUAUCGCAAGUUACCAUGGCACAAAUGGAAGGCAACCUUGAAGCAAAAUUAUUUCAACACUCCAUGGGCUUCUAUCUCUGUAAUUGCAGCUGUUAUUCUCCUUCUACUCACAGCCACGCAAACAGUUUCUUCUCUAAUUGCAUUGUAGAUUUAUUAAUUUCUACUGUUUGUGAUCAAUUUUUGUGUUUUUCAGAAGCAUUUCAUUUGUAUUGCUUGCUAGUGCCUCUGUUUUGUUUAGCUCACCCACAGAAUGGAUAAAAAAUAAGAGCAGUUGAUUUCUCUAGUUACUGUUGCUGUUUUCACUCGCCUUUCCAACAAGUCAAGCACCUAUAUAUUGUCUACUUGUCACCUCAAUUUUUAAAUUGUGUCACCAAGCAAACAUCAGUAAUGGAGGAUGGCAUGGCAGAUAAAAAAGAAAGGCAAUAAUGUGAUAAUGUAGCAAUGCGAUUCUACGAAAGAUUUUAAUAUUUGAAUAACCAGUAUUAGUAUUGAUUGUACAAUUCGUAAUAAUUAAUUUGUUUCUUUAUUGAUAAAAUUUAUAAUCAAGUUAGAGCUUUUACUGUGAAAUGUGGGAGUAAUUGUCUGUAGUGAUCCCCAAGUCAAGUCAAGCACAUAAUGAUAAAACAUAAAAGCAAGAAAAGUCAAGCAAUCAUAAAGCUGGGUUGGUCCUGGAAAGUUGAAAGAAAAAGCAAGAGCGUUUGGUGGCCCAGCACAGAGGGAUGAAAAUUUGAUUAUCCACUAUCCGAUCGGACGGAUGAAGACCAGCCGUCUGGGUUGGUUUGGCUAUUCCUUUCUGUUGAAAAAGGACCCUACACUAGGGAAUUUGAAGUGACUUCGAUUCACAGCAGCUGUGCGGGGCAAUAAAUUCAAUACAUGAUCUCUGCCAGUAAAGGACACGAUUACGAGGAAGCACUAGGCUUCAUAAAAUAGGGGUGUCAAUUGUGUCGAGGUAAAUCUCUUUGGGUUACAGUUGAAAUAGAGUAUUUAAUUAUUGGGGUAAAAUGUUAAACUUUUAAAGUUGUGGGAUAUUAUAUAUUAGACCCGUUUAUACUUAGACCCGUUUGGUAAUUUUGAGAAGUAAUUUUGAGAAGUAAUUUUAUACUUAGACCCGUUUGGUAUAACUUUUCAAAUAAACUUUAUUUAAGUAGAGUUUUUAUUGAUAGAGUUUUUAACAAAAUAAUUUUAUUUGUUUGGUUGUCCAUGAGAGCUUUUAUUAAAAAUUAUGAAAUUCCUUUAAUAGGUAAGAAAAUGAAUGAAAUAAGAUUGUCAAAUAAACAAAAGAUAUUUUAGAUAUUUUGACAUUUUAAAAAAGUUUUUUAACCCUUAGUGCCCCAAAAAAUCCAAAAUUUGAGUUUCGCUAAUAGAGGCAAAAUAACUUAUUUAAUCAUAAAAAACUCUACUGAAAAACAAUCAAACAACAACAUUGAAAAGAACUUAUAAGAUUAGAUAAGUAUUUAUGACCAUGAGAUAAUUCAUAUCAAACAGACACUUAAAACAAUUUCAUAUAUAUCUUCACAUAUAUUAUAAAUAUCCAACAUUAUCCUUAUUCAAUUAAGAAAUUGUAACACCCUAGAUGAAUCCCACAUCGGCAAAGUAAGGGAGAGACACUUAAAAUUACUAAAUGUUUAACUUUCGCAGCUCAUUAAUCUUAUAGCACAAUUAUUUAUAACUAUUUUAAAAGUUAUAACAUUGCCAAAUUGAGCCAUAGUCCGUCCAACCCUAAAUUUGAGACAUAAAAAAAGUGAGGUACUUAUGGCGUAAAAAAUCUAUCACAAUCGUGGUGACAAUUUCUACCACGCUCACAAAGUGCAACAAAACCUAAAUGGUCAUCUAAAGGAUCAAAGUAUUUUGAAGCCGUUGUUUAAUCUCUCACAUUUAUCUAUUGUAUGUCACCACCAUCAAUAUAUGCACAUAUUUUUUGAGCUGAACUGACAAAUUUUCUCACUUAAUUUCAAUGAGUAUUCAGAACAUCAAUGGAGAGAACCCAAAUCAUUGAAGUGAUGGAAGUUACGAAGGGCUUUCCUGGUAGAGCAAUACCGUUUAACCAGUGAAAACAGACAAAUUAAAAAUAAGAGUCGGUGCCCGGGUUUAAUAAAAGAAUUGUCUACUUGUCACUUUACUUUUUUUAAUUAAAUUGGGUCACCCAACCUCGACAUAAAUCUUGGACUGAUUAGUGGCCUAUUGAAUUGUUUGAACGCGAUCAUCUAGUUGCUAAUUUUUUGCUUUAUUGAAAAAUUAAAAUGAAAACAACUUAUUCAAUUUUAUUAGAAAGCAACUCGGUUUUGUUGUAUUAAAAAAGACUCUUGACUCUUAUCACUUUGUCCGAAGAGUGCACAAUUGGUAGGAAUUGUUCUAUUAUUAAACUGAGCCCUCUUAACUUAUUUUAUUAUAUUCCUCGAUCGAGGAUCAUGCGAGCAAAGCGCACGUUUAAACAAUCCAAUGGCCAUUCGCAAAAACAAAAAACAAAAAAUAAAAAAUCAGCCCACAAAUAUUGCGACGCGACCAAACCAGAUGGUCCAAUUGGUGAAGAGGAAUUCUCAUAAAUGCAAUGGUCAUACUCGGAUGUCGUUGGAAAUUUAUUACAAUGAAAGAUCUAGAUGGUCCAACUUAGGCUACUUGGAAUUUUUUUUUUUUAGGUUUAAAAAUAAUUUUAAAAAAUUAAAAUUAAUUUAGGUGUUUAGUAAAUUUUUAAAAAAUUAUUUUUUUAAUAAAAUCACCUCAUUCCGACAGCAGAUUUUGAAAGUGUAACUUUUCAAAAUCUGAUCUUGAAUAUUAGUUUUAUUCUUGAAUAUAAUCCCAUAUAUAUAAAAAAUCCAGAAUUAUUAUUAUUAGCAGAAAAUAAAUUAAAGAAAUUAUUAUUAUUGCUAAUUAUAUUGAGAUAAAAAUUAAAUUAAUGAUAUUAAUAUAUUUGAAAGUGUUCCAUCUACAGAGUUCCUGAGACCAUGCGGGGUUCCAAUCCAAGUCAUUUUACUACGCAAAUGGUUUCAAUUGGCCCUUUUCAUGAUGGUAAGGAAGAGCUAAAAGCCAUGGAAGAGCAUAAGAAAAGAUAUAUACAUAUAAGCAGUUAGAUUUUUUGGUGAAAAGUAAAAUGCCCUAUAAUUACAUAUAUACUUCGGUGAAAACAAGCAUAAAUAAUCACACAGACGUAGGGCAACGCAGCAGCAGCACUAAUGCUACACACCAGGGCGAGCCGUGGGCUAUAAUGGCCACCUGAAGAGAGACAAUGAACUGUGAUGAUCAAAAUCAAUGGAGACAUGACUAGUAAUCUUUGAAGCAGCUCAGAUGGUGAGGCCAUUACUUUGUCAUAGAGUAAGUAACCCAGGAAUCCGCAAACGAGUAUCACUGAUGCCUUGAGAAGCCAUUGCUCUGUUAUGCCGAUGCUUUGAGGCCUUGAUGAAGCGAUGAGUUGAAGCAAGUGGUUUGGAGCUAAAAGGGAAAGGACUGAAGGGUUUUUGUGUUUGCUUUUGUGGACUUGUGCGAGCGAGUAAUGUUACAAGAGACAGAAUUAUUGACAUUUCUUAACAGAGGCAAUAAUUUACAAAGUAACAAUUUGAAAUUCAAUAUUUCUCAUCUCAUUUAGAAGAAUCCAACCUGUUGCAAACAAGAUUGACCAUCUAGCUGUCAAAAUUUGAACUUAAGCUGCAACGAACAACCGUUCCCCUCAACCCAACUGCACCCCGGCACUUUCUUCAAACCUUUCUGGUUCAUGGCAGCCAUCAUCUCAGCUGCAUUAUCCCAAUUACCAGAUAGAGAAGAUGCUCUUGGCAUAGUUGAAGGUCCUGCGAUCAUUGUCAGUCCUUUGCGUCUCACAGUUGAAACAUGAACAUAAUUGCUCAUCAUUCGGUUCCUGAGAUAUAUGUCAAAGAACGUCCGCGCAUUGCGACUGUGGCAGUAGGAAACGCGACAGCUUCAAAAUUAUUGUAAAGAAGCGGCACCGAUCGAGGAACAAAAUAGCAACUCCAGAAGAAAGGAUGUUCUAAAGCUUCCGCAGCGGUAAUGCAGGGGUUCCAAAAUCAAACUGAUGGCAUCACUGCUAGCUGAUGGCAACAACUCAAGCAGAUUCACACCACCCAUCUGCGGGAAAAUAACCCUGUUGGUGCAUGUAAUGGAGACCUUGAAAAACUCGGAAACACAAGUUUCUGACUUCAUCUUCAGAGAAGUUUUGACCCGCACUUUCUUUCAUAAGUUUUAGAAGAUCAGAUUCCAUGUACUCGAACACAAUGAAUACGUCUUCGUGUUUUUUGACAAGAUUCCUCAAUUUGACAAUUUUGGGAUGAUUAUUCACCUGCUCUCGUCCAAAGAAAAAAUCUUCUUCAUUUUCUUCACAGCAACAAAUUCACCACUCUUUUUAUCAAGAGCCUAAAACACGUCGCCAUAACUCCCCGAUCCAAGCUCCCUGAUCUUUCCCUAUUGCUCCAUUAUUUUUAGGGUGAUAUAUGGAACCGAAUUUUCGUUUCUACAUGGAUAUUUAUGAUGUGACAAUAACUUGCCGUAUUGAAUUAGGGAAUAGUUUCCUAUUCCCAUUACAUGUAAUAAUAAUACCUUAAUUGAAUAGGAAACUAAUCUCCUAAAUGAAACUAAUACGUACUAAGAAAAGGAAAUUUGUUUAAGCAUUGCACUAGGAUAAAUGUUAUUUAGUAACUUAUAACAGAUUAUUAAUUAUCUCAGUACAUCAAAUUUUUUUAGUUUUUUAUUUAACAAGAUGGGCUUAUUACUUAGUAACUAAUAGAAGUUACGUAAAUACAGCAAAUUUUAAUAUUCAACCAAUUAGGGCAUUAGAAUCUAACAGUUUCCCUCGGUUAAUAUUUUAUUUUAUUUUAUUUCUAUCGGCUAAUAAAAGAGACUAAAAACCAAUGGUAACAAAGAGGAAUGGAGAUCUUGAUCCGUAAACGGGUAUCAUUGCUGCCUUGAGAAACCAUUGCUCUGUUAGGCCGACACUCGGAGGCCUUGAUUUAGCAGAUGAAGCCAUAAGUUGAAGCAAGUGGUUUGGAGCUAGAUGGGACAGGACUGAAGGGUUUUAAAGAUAAUAUGGUACAAUCUUUCUUUCUUUUUUCUUUUUUUUUUUGUGUUUGCUUUUGUGGACCUGUGUGACCAAGUAAUGAUACAAGAGACAGAAUUAUUGAGCCUCUGUCAGUAACUUUGUCCUAUAUGUUAACAUUUUUUAACAGAGGCAAUAAUUUACAGAGUUAGUAACAAUUUGAAACUCAAUAUUUCUCUUCUCAUUUAGAAGAAUCCAACCUGUUGCAAACAAAAUUGACCCUCUAGCUGUGGAAUUUGCACUUAUGCUGCUGUCUCCUUUGACAUUUCUUCCGCUGAACCAUCAUUCACCUUAACCCAACUGCACCCGGGUACUUUGUUCAAACCCUUCUGAUUUAUGGCAACCAUCAGCUCAGCUGCAGUAUCCCAAUUACCGGAUAGAGAAGAUACACUAGCAGCAAGUACAUAGUUGGCUCCUAGUUCAGGCUCUAGUUUAAGUAAAAGCUUUCCAAGGUUAUCAUCUAAACAGAGGACCUGCCCCGUGGUUUCUACAAGCCCCUAGGAAACUCCUUAAUAUAACUGCAUUAGGCUCCGUUGGCAUGUUCCUGAUAAUAUGAUAACCUUCUUCAAUCAAUCCAGCUUUUCCAAGCAUAUCAACCAUGCAUCCAUAAUGCUCCAUUGUUGGUUUGAUAUUAUAUACUCUCGCCAUUUCAUCAAAAUAAUUCUUACCCUCAUCAACAAGACCCAAAUGGCUACAAGCUGAUAAGAUUGCAGAAAAUGAAAUGCUGUCUGGUUUUAGCCCUGUUUGUAUCAUCUUGUCAAACAAGGAAAUAGCAUCAUUUCCUCGGCCGUUAUCUGCAAGCCCGGAAAUCAUGAUUGUCCAAGACUGCAAAUUCUUCUCCCGCAUUAAAUUGAAAACUUUGAAAGCUCUCUCAACAUGCCCACACUUGGAAUACAUCUCAACCAGGGCGGUUCCUAGAGCAACAUCCAGCUCCAAACCAUUAACGACAGCGUAUGAAUGAAUGGAUUCUCCUGCCCUGACGUUGAUCAGACUGGUACAAGCAGAAACCAAGCUUACCACGGUGACAGAGUUUGGAUUUUCAUUUGCUAGCUUCAUUCGAUGGAACACCUUCAAUGCGUCCGAUGGACUAUCACUGUACGCAAAAAAAGUAACAUCAGAAUAUACGCUAAUAAAGGAAACAAAUGCAUAAUAACAAAUUCACAUGAAAACAAGCACCGCAACUAGACAAAAUCAUUAACUAAUGAACUUCAUGCAUCAAUUAUUUGGCUUUUAUUCUCAUUAACGGUUUUUUAUUUUUAUUUUUUUAAACCCACGACAAGUAACAAUAACACAUAUAAACAAUUAAAAUCAAAUCAAUGAAGAAACAUACCAAGGAACAAAACCCGCAAUCAUAGAACUCCAAGAAACCACAUCUCUCACAGGCAUUUCCUCGAACACUGCUUUCGCAAAAUCAAUUUCCUUACAGGCAGCAUACAUCCUCACUCCUCAGAAGGGUAUUCCCAAUAUAUUUAUCCGAAUCCAAACCCACUUUAGGAAUCAACGAAUGCACUGACCCACCAACUCCAAUCAACAGACACCGACCACAAGCUUUUACAACAAAAGGGUACGUAAAAUUAUCUGGUGUAAGCCCUGUUUUUAGCAUUUCAUCAAACAGUUUGAUUGAUUCGAUCGAACAAGAGGUUUUCGUGUACGCUCUUAUAAGGGUAUUGUAAGCAAAAAGUGGUGGCGUGACGGGCAAGUUAUUGAAUAAGGAUCUCGUAAAGUGGAGUGAGAUUGAAAGUGAAGUGAGAAUGAAGCGUGAGAUUAUGUACGUGUUGUGAUCGAGUGAUGUUUUGAGGAAUAGAGUGUGGAGUUGGUGAAUGUGGUGGGCGAUUUUUGACAGUUGGAUUAGGGUUUCAAUUUGGCGGGAAAUCAUGACCCUAAACUAAAGCUGUUCUUUAUCGACAACUAACUUGUUGGAAAAAUCACUCACCUAAAUUGAAAGGUGAUCUUGAGACUAGUGUUGGAUUUAUAAAUUUAUAUUGAAUCUUUCAUCUCCCAAACACUGUCUGUAUCAUAAUUGAAUGAUUCUAUACUCCUCAAAUGAUUAGUUAUACUGAAAAUUCCUUGUUCCAAAUGACCAUCUAAGUCCUUUUCAUUUUUAAUUACAAUUAUAACAGUAUAUUGAUAUUUUAUUAAUCAGAAAACUACUGGUAUCGCUUUUAUUAUGGUGCGGUCAAAUGAACUACUGAUAAUGUUUUCCAUGCUAAAAGUUCUAGUACGACACUAACGUAUGAAGAAUAUUUUACUGGCGAAGUAUAUAGCAUCACUCAGAAUAUCCUACGGCUGUGGACCUGCGUAAAUAAACAUAAAUGUUGAGAAGUAAAAAAAAUUAUUAUUUUUUAAUAUUAGAAACUUUUUAUGUCAGUUGUAACAAUAUGACACUUGCAACAAAACCAUUUUCUUGGCUAUUGAAGUAAUAUCAAAUUUUUGUCAAAUUCAAAUUUUCAACUAAAAUGUGGUUUGGCAUACAGUGCUUUUGGGAUUGCUUUUGAGGCUCAAAAUUAAUUUUGAAAAGAUAAAAGUUAAUUUUAAUGUUUGGUUAAUUUUUUACUAAAUUAUUUUUAAUAAAAUCACCCCAUCAUACGUUAGAUUUUAAAAACAGAGAAGGAAUAACUUUUCACAACUGAUUUUGAGAAUCAGUUUUAUGCUUAGACCCUAUUUGAUAUAACUUUUUAAAUAAAAUUUAUUGAAGUAGAAGAGCUGUAAGUUAUUUUAUGCAACACCAAAGUAAAUAAUUAUUUUAAAAGUUAUAACAUUACCUAAUUGGCCCAUAGUCGACCUAACCCUGAAUUUGAGACAUAUAAAUGUGAGGUACUUAUGGCAUAAAAGAUAUAUCACAAUAUUAGUGACAAUUUCUACCACGGUCACAAAGUGCAACAAAACCUAGAUUGUCAUCUAAAGGAUCAAAGCAUUUUCAAGUAGUUGUGUAAACUGUCACACUUAUCUACUAUAUAUGUCACCACCAUCAAUACAUGCACAUAUUUUUUGAGCUGAACUGACAAAUUUUCUCACUCAAUUUCAAUGAGUAUUUAGAACACCAAUGGAGAGACCCCAAAUCAUUGAAGAGAUGGAAGAUACGAAAGGCUUUCUUGGUAUAGCCAGACAGUUACACCAGUGGAAUAGACUAAUUUAAUAUAGGAAACAGGAUUCAUUUUCUUACACACUCUUCAUUAAAAUAUGAUCAAGUACAGGAUCCGGCACAUGAGCCGGGGCCCGGGUUUAAUAAACCGUGUCACUGUCACCCAACCUCAACAUAAACUUUGGAGUGUCUGUGGCCUAUUGGAUUAUUUGAACGCGAUUGCUAAUUUUUUGCUUUAUUGAAAAAAAUAAGAUGAAAACAAAUUAUUCAAUUUUAAAAGAAAGCAACUCGGUUUUGUUAUCCCACGAGUGCACGAUUGGUUGGAAUUGUUCUAUUACUAAACUGAACCAUACAGUUUAUUUUAUCAUAUUCCUCGAUCGGGGAUCAUGCUACUAUGCUAGCAAAGAGCAAGUUUAAACAGUCCAAUAGACCUUCUCAAGUUCUCAGAAAACAAAAGUUAGUUAUGCAGAUGUGGAUAGUUAGUUACAAACAGAUUCAGAAGCUGUUAGCUGUAUGAGUAACAAACUCAUGUAUGUAUUAGCAUGCAUGAAUGUCAUUAGUUAGUUGUUAUUUUGUAAGCUUCCAAAAAUUCAAUAAUACAAAAAGUUUUCUUUCUUCUUCAUUUUACAUCACUUUCUUUCUCACUUUCUCUACAACCAAACAGAGUUUUUCUCAUUAUCAAACAGUUCUUAAUGCUACCUGUUUUCUUUCUGUUUUACUGAUUUCAUUCAUUUUGUUGCCACCGCAGCGAGCAAUUAAUAAGAAGAUGGAUGCCAGGAAGCGUGAGCGUGAGCGUUAUGAUGUAUCGAUUGAUAUGGAGAGGUUGGCAGAUUCUUUGAGUGGGGAAUUGGAGUCAUUGCAAUCAAAGCUUAUUUAACUAAUUUGUACUGUUUGGUUGCCGAGAAAAGUAAAGAGAAAGCUGAGAAUUGAGAGAGAAAAUUCUGAUAAAAACAAAUUAAUAAUUCUAAUUAAUCGUGAACCUGAUUACAAGGCUACUCAUAGUAAAAGCCAUGGAAGAGCAUAAGAAAAGAUACCUUAAGUGCUUUCUUCAACGAACUAAGGGACGCAUAGCAAGUUUCCUUGGAUUCAUAAAGGCAAGGGAAGCAGAAUUGCGCAACUGUUAUGCUGAAACAAUUCAUGUUGAGACUGAUGAGUUCAUAAAAAUGGUUUUAGUCAGUGGGAGAUCCAGUCACUUAAAUUAGGGGCUUAGUUAAAAUUAUUUUAUUUUAGUUGAGAUUUUUUUUAACGUUCACUUGAAUAAUAUUUUAAGUCUCAUAAACUCAAAUUCCAUUACUUUCUUUUAAAUUUUAAAUAAUAAUUGUAAUAAAUUGUUUAUUUAGAAUGCGUGAAAGUAUUAUUUUUCUAAGUAUUUUUCACAAAAUAUUUAAAAAAAAAAACAAAACAAUAUGGUUAUUGGGAUUUAAAUCAAGACUUUAAAACUAUCAAAUAACACUCUUACCAUUGAACUACAAGUCUUUUGUUAUAUACAACAUGUGUCCAAAUUUUUUUAUUUAACUCUUUGAGAAGGGACUUCGGGUACAUUUAAAAAAAAAAAAUUAAUGGCUCAAAAGGGGUUGGACCUUAAUUGGGCAACCCCUUAUGGACCUUAAUUGGGUCCGCCCAUGGUUUUAGUGGAUGUUGUGUUUAUCAUCGAGUUCUUUAUGAAAUUCUACCAACCUAAUUUCAGAACUAAUGAGGAUCCCAUAUUAGGAAAAUCAUUUUUGCAUGAUGAUGUCAAGCUUGAGAUUUUGCUGCUAGAAAAUCAGCUUCCAUUGUUCAUUCUCAAUGACUUGUUUAAUCUAAGCCAAAACUAUCUCCAGAAAGCCCAACAUUGAUCUUCACCAGGAAACCACUUUCUGCAUAAAAAAGCUCUCAUUAGGUUUCGGGCUGAACCAAUAUUGGACAAAAACAGCUCUUAUAAGGCAAGUUAUUGGAAAAUGAUCUUGUAAAGUUAAGUGUAAUUGAAAGUGAAGUAAGUAUGAACUGUGAUAUGAUGUCUGUAUUGUGAUCAAGUGGCGUUUUGAGGAAUAGAGAAGAGACUGGAGUUGAUGAAGGUGAUGGCCAUUUUUUGACAGCUGGAUUCGGUUUUGAAUUUGGCGGGAAAUCAUGACCCCAGCCUUUAAUUUUAAAGGAAAAAAAAAAUGCUGCUUCUUGACAACUAACUUGUGAAAGAACAUGAUAUUUCAUUUGGUACAGCAGUGAGUCUAAUUGUAGAACGGUAAAAUUUUUAACUAUUAAAUUUGGUUAGGCAGCGCUCUGUCAAAUGACAGAGCAUGCAAGAAUGGCUACUGUGUACAUGAGUUUUAACAAUAAGUUGCACAUUUCACAUUCGUACCUACAUAUUUAACAAUAUUAGGUCAUGUUUGGUUUGAAGAAAAGGGAAGAGAAGAAAAUAGUGGAAUGGAAAGGAAGGGAGAAGAAAGGAAUGGAGAAGAGUAGUGAAAUUAGAUUUUGUUGUUUGGUUUGAUAUAAAAUUUGAUAAGGAAAUUAAUUAUAAUUUUUUUUUAGACAAAUUUAUCAUUUACCUUAAAUAUUAAACUAUUUAUAUUAGUAAUAAUAUAGAUAUAAUAAAAUGGCGAUUCGGUGGUCCGGCGAGGUCCGACGGUGGUCCGGUGACUUUCCGGUGGAGGUCCAUUUAUAAUAUUAAAUUAAUAAAAUAAAAUUAUAAAUAAUAAUUAUUAAUGACAUUAAAUAAGUUAAAAAGUUGAAGGGUAAUUUUAGAAACUUUAGUUUCUAAUAUAAGAGGAAUUUAAAUUCUUCACUACUUAGUAUGGAAUUCAAAUUCUACAUUAUAAUGGAUAUUAAAUUCUAAUGGAAAUUAAAUUCUUAUAUAUUUUGUCAAACCAAACAAUAGAAAUAAAAAGGAAAUUUAAAUUACUUUCCUCUCCUACAUUCUCUUCUCCCAACCAAACACCACAUAAAUUCCUUAAAUUUGGACAAGUAACACUCUUGUUUUAGCCUUAACAUUUCAGAAGUCUUGGCAUAUGAUCAUAGAUGAAUAAUUCCAAACACAUCGAAUAAAUAGUUAUAUUGUAAAUUCAUCGUUCCAAAUGAUCAAUGUACAUGGUAAUGUUUCCCUGAUGUUGCUUCUAAGGUAUAGCAUUACUCUUACAAGCCACGGCUGUGUCAUGAAUAAAUAAACAUAAACUUUGAGAAAUUUGAAGUAUUAAAUAACUUUUGCAUGCGUGGAGUGAUGAAAAGGGGCGGAGCAAGAAUAAAAAUUUGGGGGGGGGGGGGGGCGUUGGUGUUCAAAUAUUAUAGAGGUAAAUGUUUUAAGGUUAAAGUUAAAAAGAGUAUCUAAUUAAUGGGUAAAAUGUUAAACUUUUAAAGUUACCGGGGGCCAAAUCAGCAAAAUAAAUAUUAAAAUCUGAAAUUGUAAAUUUUCAUAACUAUACUUGAUACAUGUUAAUGCUUUCACCUUUUUUCAUUGAGCAACCGAACCAACCUACUUUAAGUUUUAGUUAACUUAAGAUGAUGUUCAAGAAUAUUAUACGUUUUUUUUUCUUCAAGCAUUUACUUUAGUAAUUCAUUUUAGGCUACACUAAAUUGUUUAUCAUAAUGAGACUUGACUUUAACGCUAUUAUUGGAUCCUUAUGAUUCUGCUUAAACUCUUGAACCAAAUUAUUUCACUAACGAGAUUUCUCAAGUUUAUUCUCCCACAUACAAACUUUAUUUUAAUUUGAAUUUAUUGACUUACUUUAAAAUUCUCUUAUCUCUAAGCUUACCUACGAGUUCUGGUUUUAAUACUUGAGGAAAACUAUAAUACUUAUUGAUUCUUACCAAUCAACUUAAAACUUUUAUGUAAAGAGAUUUCUCUAAGACUCUAACAACCAAUACAAUCUUUGUCCUUGAUUUUUCGUUUUGUAAUUUUUGAUUAUUUCAAUUAUGAAGCUUAAAGCAUGCAUCUUAUUAGAUGGGAACCUGUAAAGAAAGAAAACAGUUACUGACUUUAUUGAAAGAGAGGUUCCAUAAAAGACAAGAGAAUUGUGAUGUUCUGAAGAAAGGAAUAAAUGUACAACAUCAAUUUAUUCUCUCUAUAUAUAUAUAUGAAGUAUAUGGACCAAUUUGUUCGGACGACAAGGUCGAUCAUAUAUAAUAUUGGUUUCAUCAUCCAUAAUUGACUACCAGAACUUGUUAUAUCUUUUAAUUUACGAUAGAUAUGUAAUCAAUUGUUAUAUCUUUUAAUCAAUGUGUACACACACACACAUGUAUGUAUCAGCUCACAAAUUAUUUCUUACUACCAGAACUUGGUCUUUUAAUAAUAUAAACUAAAAGAGACAGUCCUCGUAUAUACCUUUAUAUUAAGGAAUAAUUUAUUUUUAUUUUGGGCGAGGAGACUUUGUUGAUUAUAUUAAUGGGCUGUUUGGUUAUGUACGUGUAGCAGAGGCUAUAGGCAAAACAAAUUGAGUUUUCUUUUCUCGUUCUCUUUAAUCAUUCGGGAACUAAGUUAGCAACUGUCCUCGAGAUAGCUGGUUUCGGUUUUGUUCUGUUUUACUGAUUUCAUAGAGUAAUAAUAUAGUUACAAGCUCUUGUAUAAAUUGAUGUGGCAUGAUUUAAUUGGUUGGAUUAAAUAUCUUUUGGUCCACAUAAUUUGUUUUUAUUAUACCGUAUUUUUAUUCAACCAAUGACUUGAUGUCAAAUCAAUUUGUACAAAAUAAGUUUGUUUAAAAGUUUGUGGCUCUAUCAUCACUCUCAUUCAUUUAUUUCGUUGCUACUGCAGCGAGCAAUUAAUGAGAAGAUGGACGCCAGAAAGCAUGAGCAUGAGGGUUAUGAUGUAUCGAUUGAUGUGGAGAAGUUGGCAGAUUCUUUGAGUGGGGAACUGGAGUCAUUGCAUCCCUUAGCCAGAGAGUUUUCCAUCUACAGAGUUCCAGAGACCACGCGGUUUUCCCAUCCAAGUCAUUUUACUCCACGAAUUGUUUCAAUUGGCCCUUUUCAUCAUGGUAAGGAAGAGCUAAAAGCCAUGGAAGAGCAUAAGAAAAGAUACCUUAAGUGCUUUCUUCAACGAACUAAGGUACGCGUAGCAAGUUUCCUUGGAUUUAUAAAGGCAAGGGAAGCAGAAUUGCGCAACUGUUAUGCUGAAACAAUUCAUCUUGAGAGUGAUGAGUUCAUAAAAAUGGUUUUAGUGGAUGCUGUGUUUCUCAUUGAGUUCUUUCUGAAAUUCUACCAACCUAAUUUCAGAACGGCUGAGGAUCCCAUACUAGGAAAAUCAUUUUUGCAUGAUGAUAUGAAGAUUGAGAUUUUGCUGCUAGAAAAUCAGCUUCCAUUGUUCAUUCUCAACGACUUGUUUAAUCUAGCGAAAACAACAAUGUUUGAAACGAACUUGUAUGAGGAAUUUUCCUUCAUGACAAUUACCUGUUUUUGGUUCAGGCGUAAUAUUGCUGGAUAUCUUCCAAUACAGGAGAAUUUGCUAGAAAUCAACUUUUCGAAAGCUAAACAUUUUGUUGAUCUGCUUAUACUCUGUCUUCAGCCAUCCCAACCGCCUGCGGCUAUUGAGUUGAAAGAUCGAAACAUUCCCAGUGUAAAGGAACUUCACCAAGCUGGAGUCAAGUUUAAACCAGGGUCAAGCAAAAAUCUACUCGACAUCAAAUUUAAAGAGGGAAUUCUAGAAAUUCCAUUUUUAACGGUGUAUGAGACCACAGAGCGUUUGUACAGAAAUGUUCUGGCUUUCGAGAGGAUGCAUGGCUACACUGGAUAUUUGAAUGACUAUAUUAUAAUGAUGAAUUAUCUUGUCAACACUCCAAAAGAUGCGGAAUUACUCGUUCAGAACGAAAUUAUUGGGUUGGGGGAUACUGAAGCAGUUCCAACUUUAUUUCAUAUCCUUGACAAAGAAUGUGUGAUAGAUUAUUCUGAUUUCCAAUAUUCUGGCAUUAUUGCUAAUCUACAGGCCUAUUGCAAAUUACCGUGGCACAAGUGGAAGGCAACCUUGAAGCAAAAUUAUUUCAACACUCCAUGGGCGUCUAUCUCUGUAAUUGCAGCUGUUAUUCUUCUUCUACUCACAUCCAUACAAACAGUUUGUUCCCUCAUCGCAUUGUAGAUUCACUUUUACAGUUUAUUAUGUAUUAUGUAUUAUUUUCUUAGAAGGAUUUCACUUGUAUUGCCGGUGAGUGUUUCUGUUUAGCUCAACCACAGUAUGUAUAUAAAAGAAAUUACUUACUUUUGCUGUUUUCGCAAUAAGUCUAGCACAUAACGAUAAAAAUUUGACAAUUCAAAUAAUAUUGAAGAAAGACUCAAGCCCUCGAUCCACUCGUCCAAUCGUCCACUUGUUAACAAAAAAUAUCUAGAAUUGUAUAUAUCCAGGAAGGGAGGGUAGUUAGGAUAUGUGGUUAACAAAUAGUUAUAUGGUGAUAUAUGGAAAAUGUGGCUAAGAAAUAUGGAAGCACUAUACAUGCUGCAUAAAACGACAGCUGAGGAAAGGAUGCUGCAAAGCUGCUGCGGCCGUUGGGUGCCUUCUAGUACCCGUGUGGAAUACUACUUUUGUGCCCUUACCGAUCAAACUAAACUUUCAUGUCAAGUGGUUUCUGUAACGACUGGUAUAAUCGAAUUGUUUUGUUAAAGGCAAGAGAAUUAAUAUUAUUGUUCUGAAGAAAGGAAUUAUGAUCAGUAUCAAUCGAUUUGAGUUUCUACAUACAUGGCUCAAUUUAUUUCAAGACUAGUUGAUCAUAUUAUUGUGUUUCUUCAUCUGCAAUUAAUACAGGGGCUACAGAAAAAGCAAUGUGAGAAGAUAUUCACUCACUUUUAAUCUUAAAUUACGAUGGGUUAAGUUUCUGAUUUAUGUACACUGCGAUCGUUAUAUCUUUUAAUCAAUUUGGAUUUACACUAUUAACGUUGUUUAUUUCAUCAUUCUUCUGGAUUUGCAUAUAGUGAACUACUUGCAACUAUUUUUAGGAGCUUUAGUAAAGACUGUUCGAUGGGUCUUGGAUUUUUUUUUUUUUUCCUGGUGUUGUUGUGUUAAUCGACAGGCCUAUUGCAAAUUCAUCGUAAAUCCAUAGAUGAAUAAUUCUAAACUCCUCAAAUAAGUAGUUACAUUGUAAAUUCAUAGUUCCAAACGAUCGAUGUAUGCAAGUUAUGUAAAAUCAUACGGCUGUGUCAUGCAUAUGUUUAAAGUAUUGAACAAGUUUUGCAUACGUGGAUGGAUGGAAAGCGGCGGAGCUAGAAUGAAAUGUUUACGGGGGUCAAAUAUUAUAGAGGUAAAUCUUUUUGGGUUAAAGUUGAAAACGAGUAUUUAAUUAAUGGGGUAAAAUGUUAAACUGUUAAAGUUGUAGGGGCUAAACAGAAAAAUAAAUAUUUUAAAAUCUGAAAUUGUAAAUUUAUAUAAUUAUAUUUAAUAAUUGUUUUUGGACCUACAAUAACAGGGCAGGGUCUCUGUUUUCCCUGAAGCAGCUUCCCCAUGGAUGAAAGUAUGGACAUCAAUACUCAAAACAUGUUUAUGCUUUUACCUUUUUUCAUGGAGAAGCCGAAACAAACCUGCGUUAAGUUUUAAAUUAAUUAACUUAGACGAGGUUCAAGAAUAUUAUACGGUUUUUCUCUCAGGAAUUUAUCUUAGUAAUUCAUUUUAGGCUACACUAAAUUUUUUAUCGUAAUAGAUUCGUCGAAAGACUUAACUUUAACAUUAUUAUUGGACCCUUAUCAUUAUGUUUGGGCUUUUGAACUAAGUUAUUUCUCUAACAAGAUAUCAAAGUUGAAUUUAUUGGCUUUGUUUUAAAUUCUCUUAUCUCGCGGUUCAGGCUCUGGUUUUGGUACUUGAGGGGACCUAUUAAUUAAUAUUUAUUGACUCUUAACCUAAACUUUUGUGUCAAGCGAUUAAUUUCUCUAAAACUCUAACAACCAAUAUAAUCUUUGUUCUUGAUUAUUCAUUUUGUAAUUUUUGAUAAUUUCCGUUAUGAAGCUUAAAGCAUGCAGCUUAUUAGAUGGGAACCGAUAAAGAAAGAUAACACUUACAUGACUUUAUUGAAAGACAUUCCAUAAAAGACGAGAAUAGUUAUGUUCUGAAGAAAGGAAUUAGUGAGUGAACAACAUCAAUUUAUUCGAAUUCUUCCUAUAUAUAUAUAUAUGGAGUAUAUGGACCAAUUUAUUACGAGGACCAGGUCGAUCUUAUAUGUAACUGUGUUUCAUAUCCACAUUUAAUGCUGGCUACUAAAAAAAGCAAUGUGAGUAUUCAUUUUUGUCUUAAUUUUUGAUGUGUUAAGUUUCUGUUUUAUCUGCACUUGAUCUUUAUAUCUCUUAAUUAACCUGGAUACGUACAUCAUUCUUCUGUUAGCUAGCUGGCCAAGGAUGUUCCAGCCCUUUCUUUUUAUUGUACUCUUUUUUCUUUAAAAGGCUGGCCAUGGAUGACAGGGAGGACGAGCAUGUAUCGAUUGAUAUGGAGAAGUUAGCAAAUACUUUGAGUGGGAAGUUGGAGACCCUGCAUCACUUGUCUAAAGAUUGUUCCAUCUAUAGAGUUGCUAAGCCCAAGCGGUGUUUAAAUCCAAGUCAUUUUACUCCGCAAAUGGUUUCAAUUGGCCCUUUUCAUCAUGGUAAGGAAGAGCUAAAACCCAUGGAAGAGCAUAAACAGAGGUACCUAAAAUACUUUCUUCAACGGACUAAGGUACGUAUGGCUCGUUUCCUCUCUUUUAUAAAGGAAAGGGAAACAAAACUGCGCAAUUGCUAUGCAGAAACCAUUCGUAAUCUUGGAAGUGAUGAGUUCGCAGCGAUGGUUUUAGUGGAUGCUGUCUUUCUUAUUGAGUUCUUUCUGAGAUAUUAUAAACGUAAUUUCAGAACUGAUGAUGAUCGCAUUUUUGGAAAACCCCAAUUGCGUAAAGAAAUACGGCACGACUUUUUGCUGCUAGAAAAUCAGCUUCCAUUAUUCAUUCUCAAUGACUUGUUUGAUCUAGCCAAAACAGCAACCUAUGAAGAACCCUUUUACGAGAAUAUUUCCCUUGCCGAAAUUGCUUGUUCUUGGUUCGAGGACUGUGUAAUUGAGCCACUGGACAAGAAUUCGCUAAAAAUCCACUUUCCCAAAGCUGAGCAUUUUCUUGACCUGAUUUUACUCUGUCUUCAGCCAUCCCAGUCACGUGCUCAAAUUAUGUUGAAAGAUCAAAACAUGCCCAGUGUGAAGGAACUUCACCAAGCCGGAGUCAAGUUUAAACCAGCUGCC